rnacentral:rRNA from 1 species
GAAGAACCUUACCAGCUCUUGACAUUCGGGGUUUGGGCAGUGGAGACAUUGUCCUUCAGUUAGGCUGGCCCCAGAACAGGUGCUGCAUGGCUGUCGUCAGCUCGUGUCGUGAGAUGUUGGGUUAAGUCCCGCAACGAGCGCAACCCUCGCCCUUAGUUGCCAGCAUUUGGUUGGGCACUCUAAGGGGACUGCCGGUGAUAAGCCGAGAGGAAGGUGGGGAUGACGUCAAGUCCUCAUGGCCCUUACGGGCUGGGCUACACACGUGCUACAAUGGUGGUGACAGUGGGCAGCGAGACAGCGAUGUCGAGCUAAUCUCCAAAAGCCAUCUCAGUUCGGAUUGCACUCUGCAACUCGAGUGCAUGAAGUGGAAUCGCUAGUAAUCG